rnacentral:pre_miRNA from 1 species
UUGACAGUCGUUGUUUGUGGGCGUGGCAUCAUCAAGAUUCACACAUGCAAGUAACUGCUAAAGUUCUUUGAAAGUGAGAAUCUUGAUGAUGCUGCAUCUGCAAUAAACCACUAUAU